AGGGGUUUAAAGCCUUAUUGCAUACGGUAAAUGCAAUCGCGAUUCCUGCGAAAGUGAGUUAGUUUUUUUUUAUUAUUUUGCUCGAGGACUAGCAAAAUGUAGGUUGGAGGGUGUGAUAAGUGCUAAAUAAUGCAUAAAUUAAUAUCUUAUUCAUAGCACUUAUCAUUAUUUUAAUUCACAUAUUUUGUAAAUUCAAUUAAAAAAUUGUGUUACCUUCAUCAUUGCAUUUUAAUAAAUUAUUAAAGGUAAUUCAAGUUUUACUUAUUUACUGAUUGAGCUUAAUGUAUGCAGGUCAAGUCACGCUUAAUUAGGUAAAGCCUAAACUACACUGCAUCAUUUCACAAUUUUACAUCCUCCAGAGUCAACUCCAAGAACUCUUCUCCAAAAUCCAGUGCUUCCAAUUAAUUUCUGACUCUUCACACGUUCACCUAAAUUUCUUCCCACUCGUUCCAACUCUUUUUCCACAUGAUCCAAUUCUCCUAUUUUAAUAAAAUCCCUUCAAUAUUUAUUUUUCAGAUCUCAAAGCAUACCAUCUAGUUGCACGGAUCCCAAAGCCUCAUCCCAUCUCAGCCAUCAUCUUGCAUCCACGUUAUCCAACUCCACGCUUCUCAAACCUAUUGUUUUUCCCAUGCAUUGAAACAAGAACAGAGCAUCCCCGAAUCGAGUUCAUCCUCCCG
rnacentral:lncRNA from 1 species